AACGAACGUUGGCGGCGUGGAUUAGGCAUGCAAGUCGAACGAGAAAGCCACCUUCGGGUGGUUAGUAAAGUGGCGAACGGGUGAGUAACGCGUGGGAAAUCUGCCCUACAGUUGGGGAUAACACUCCUAACGGAGUGCUAAUACCGAAUGAGACCACGAGAUCGCAUGGUCUUGAGGUUGAAGGUGGCCUCUCCUUGGAAGCUACCGCUGCAGGAGGAUCCCGCGUCCCAUUAGCUUGUUGGCAGGGUAACGGCCUACCAAGGCUUCGAUGGGUAGCUGGUCUGAGAGGAUGGCCAGCCACACUGGGACUGAGAUACGGCCCAGACUCCUACGGGAGGCAGCAGUCGAGAGGCUUCGGCAAUGGGGGGAAACCCUGACCGAGCGACGCCGCGUGGGCGAUGAAGGUUGUAAGAUCGUAAAGCACUUUCAAUCGUGAAGAAAAGUU
rnacentral:rRNA from 1 species